ensembl:lncRNA
ACUUAACACAGGUCUAUUAUAUGUGCGACUUGAUAAAAGAAGAAGGACAUUGUGUUUCUGCCAGGCUUUUGAGAACAAUUCGGUGCAUAUGAUCCUGAUGUACUGUACCAGAACACAAGAAGGGUCACACACAAUAAAUGAAUGAAUGGAUAAGUUGUUUGGACUCUCAUUUUGAUGGCACCCAUUCACUGCUGAUGAUCCAUUUGUGAGCAAGUGGUGCAAUGCCAAAUUUCUCCAAAUCUGUUCUGAUGAAGAUACAAACUCAUCUACACAUUGGAUAGCCUCUCAUAAACACAGAAAACCUGAAGCUGUGGACAUCUUGGAUGAGGAUAUAGCAUCACCAGAGGCUGGAUCAGUUCAGGAAAGCAGGAUCAGUGAUCCUGCAGUUCCACAGAUGCAGAAGAGGCCGCAGAUGCGUGAUGGCAGUGGAGAUUUGGCUGUCAGUGGAGACUGCAGCUGAAUUGAUGAGCGAGGCCGGUGAGGGAGCGGUGAAGAGCGCCUGCUGCUGCUGUCUGUGGUGUUGAAUGAACGACAGUAGGGUUUAAUGGGCAUCUCUCAUUUCUCUCAGCUGUCAUGAUACAAACAGCCACAAGCAAUAGCACCAGCUGUGUAACCUCACAACCAACAGUCAUACAUGAAUAAAAGAACAUUCACUACAUUAUAUAUAAAAAAAGAAUAAACCUCAAGGAAACAAUUCAUUUAAAGGGAUACUCCAUCGCAAAAUGAAAAUUGUGUCAUUAUUCACUUACCCCCAUGUUGUUCCAAACCUGUUUGUUCGUCUUCGGAACACAAUUUAAGAUAUUUUGGAUGAAAACCAGUAGGCUUGAGACUGUCCCAUAGACUGCCAAAUAAAUAACAGUGUCAAGGUCCAGGAAAGUAUGAAAAGCAUCGUCAGAAUAGUCCAUGGUUAUGUGUAUUUAUGCUUUGGUUCGAAUGAAAGCAGCGCAUCGGCGCAGCGCUGCUGACACAGCAAAGCGUCUGCCGUCUGCAUACUGCUCAGAAUUUCCAAAAUGGUGCUACACUGAUUUGGUGAUUAAUGACAAAAUUUUCCUUUAAGAUUUAGAGGCAUAAAGUACAAUAAUAAUAAUAAUAAUAGUAAUAAUAAUAAUAAUAAUAAUAGGAAAUGUUUAAACAUUUUAACUAAGAUUUAAAUGUUAACAUACUUUAAUAUAUAUUAAUAUAUAUAGAAUUUAUCCCUGUGACAGUAACACUGAAUUUCAAACAGCCAUUAUUCCAGUCUUCAUGAACAGUCUGCAGACACAUUAUUUAUGUAUUUAUUAUUAUUAUUAUUAUUAUUAUUAUUAUUAUUAUUAUUAUCUUUUUAUCUAUUUUUUUAAUGGUAGUACACAAAUUACAAAUGUUCCUCAGACAUCACGUUGCAUCAAUCACACAAAACAAAAAUGUUAAAUGUUAAGAGAUUAAAUGUUAACGCUAAAAACAAAAGCUUAAACAUAUACAACAGUGAUUUGAACACAGAUCCCAAUUUAAAAUCUGUGCACUACUUGAAACAUGACUUGUAUCAACAUUUAACUAUUCUGAACAACCUGGAGUUUUGCUAAUGAUAUAAAAGCGACGUGACAUACAGUACAGCCAAGUAUGGUGACCCACACUCAGAAUUUGUGCUCUGCAUUUAACCCAUCCAAAGUGCACACACACAGCAGUAAACGCGCACACACACACACACACACACACACACACAGGGAGCAGUGGGCACCCAUUUAUGCUGCUGCGCCCGGGGAGCAGUUGGGGGUUCGUUGCCAUGCUCAAGGGCACCUCAGUCGUGGUAUUGCCGGCCCGAGACUCGAACCCACAACCUUAGGAUUAGGAGUCAAACUCUCUAACCACUAGGCCAUGACUUCCCCUAUGACAAAUACAAAUAUGGCUCACAUCUGAAAGGGUAUGAAGCCAUUAUAGUCACAUAAUAUUAUCAAAAAGCUGUUAAAAAAGUACAAAAUAAAGAAAUCAUGCAUUUUUGUCACAACAAUGUCUCAUUAAUUUGAAUUUCAGUGUUUUGAGAUUAGAACAACUUGAACAUACAGUGUGCGACUCUGUAAAAUGAGAGAACUGUUUACGGGCCUGAAUAUUUAUGCAGAAAUUUUCUAGGACACCAGUACAUACCGUGCAUUCUCUUGACUUUAAUUGGAGUCCUUGAGAAGACAAAGGAAAGAAAGAGGAAAAAAAACAUCUAGCGUGAACAGUUGGUUGUGUAACAGCGGAGCCGAUGAUGCGCGGGCCUAUAAAUACAGACUGGCAGCAGGAGCGCAUUGUGGGCCAGUGUUUCCCCUCAGCCCACUCGGCUUUGUUUAUUCCCAACCGCCUGGCUUGUUAUGCCUCUGCACAGCUUUGACAUUGGCAGAGAAAUCAGGAAACACAAUGCACAGCACCAACUCCCUCACGGACUUUGACCGAUGCCUCCCUUGCUGUAUGUGUGACUCCCUCGUACAAGAAAACAAAUGAUCAAUUUGCCAUACAUCAGCCAUUUUAUUGGCAGGUACAGUUGCAAUGCUUUCCAGUACGGUAACCACAGAAUAAUAAAUGUUUCCUCUGUGUGAGAUGAUGCAAUGAUUAAUGUAGCUGCCCUGUCCUGUAUAUAAUUUCACCUGGUAGCCUAGAGCUAAUGUCACCGGCAACACCUCCGCUGUCAUUUGUUCUUAAUAAGAAUCCAGCUCAGCUCAGUUGUCAACCAAUCCAAUUCACUCUCGGCUUAAUAGUUAAGGUAUCGCCUGGAGAAGUUGAAGGGGAAGACGCAAAAGAUAAACACAUAUAAUGUAUAAAUGUAUAUAAUAAGGAGAAAGAGACAGGAAGAGUUGGGUCUCAUCUAAAUUGUUAGAUAAUGCAUUUGAAUGAGUUGCAUGUAUCUAGCCUUUCCGGAGAAUUCCGCCAUGCAUUUUCUAAGCUUCUAAUGAAACAAUAUAUCACCUUCUCUACCCACGUUCCUCAGCCUGGGUGCGGGCUUGCUAACACUUCGGCUUUCAUCUUCUAGAUGUGGGUGAUAUUAUUCAUAAAGUGUAAAAAUCAACUCUUCAGCUAUUUACUGCAAGCCCAAAAAACGGAGAGCAGAAAACGGAAGCCCAGGGGAGAAAGUCACUAAGACCAACCAUAUCAGCACUGUGUCAGAAAAUACAAUUGGUUUCGAACAAGCUAGUUUACUCAAAAAUACAAAUUCUGUCAGCUGUCACUCACCCUGGUGUUGUUUUAAAAUGGUUUUGAGUUCUGUGAAGAAAAAAAAAAAGGAGAUAUUUAGCAGAAUGUCCAAGCUGCUGUUUUCCGUACAUUUAAAGUAAAUUGAGACUAUGGCAGUCUAUGACCCCAGGAAUUGGAAGGAAUGUAACAAUUCAAGUUCCUUAACAGUUCUAUUUAAUGAUUCUUUUCAGCUUCAGGAUAUAAAAAGGGAGGAAAACAAUAUGUAACAGGGAGAUGAAUGGGUUCAAGACUACACUUCCCAUAAGUCCGUGGGGUAAAUUAAUUACAUCUGCACCUGCUAUAAAUAGAUUCACAGUAGUAUAGUUUUCUCUCAUCUCAUUCAUCGUUAUUUCAAACAAGAGUGUGCAAAGAUCAGGUAAUUUGUGCUCAACUGUGUUUUAAUAGUGAUUUUGUUUUUUUUGUUUUUUUGAUGAAUUUAUUUAAAUCACGAGAGCUGUUUCUGUUUAAGCAAAGACGUUGUCAAGUUGUUUUAUGCUGUACAUGUUUAGAGUAAUUUGUGUGUUAGGUCAUCAUUUAAUUAAAGGUAGGUAGAAAGUAUUUUCAUUUAUGGGUUUUUAUUAUGAGGAAGGUAGUAAACUAUGAGGGGUAAGAAAAAAAGUGGUUUUAUUUUGCUUUUUCAGAAUCCUGCUUGUAUUACUGGUGAUUGGCCUGGCAACACAGUCUUCAGAAUUAAUGAAUGAUGUGUGAGUGAAUAAUGUUCAAAAGGUACUAAGAAUUGAGUUUUCUCAUGAAAAUUUAUGAAGAUGGUGGUUUUCAUAAAGAUUUGUUUUACAGGUCUCUUAAAGGAGAACCAUCCGGUUGGUUUUUAAAUUCCUCUUUCUUAGAUCCAGUUGUUUUAAAAGGUAUUUGAUCGGAAUAAAGAAUUUAUGUAAAUGCUCAAUUCAAGGUACUUACAAUAAUCUUUUGUGUUGCAGGACUAGCACGACUAUUGUCCAGUGCUCUUUUUGUAUACAGUGUGUAUUAUUAUUAUUAUUAUUUUUUUUUUUUAAGUUGUCCUUCCUGACUUAAUGGCAGCUGCAGGGUAUCCUCCAUGGGUGUGACUGGCACUGUAUGUCUGAAGAUUUGCAGCAAGAAUUAAUGGACCUGUGUGAACAGCUGCCUAGUUUGCAAGCAUUGAAUGAUCAGCUGAGAAGUCGAGCAUCACCAUCCAGUGGACAUGUUUCAAAUCCUUCUGCCUCCACUAAUUUCAAUACUCCUCCAAUGUCUCUUAACAGGGUGCUGUAUGUUCUUAGAGGGAGAAAGUGCCCACGUUUCUAUGGACAUUCUGAUUCAUCAACUAAUAACUGGCCACAAACUGUAGUGAAACCUUUAUCACUUGUACAAGCAGUUUUAUUACAAUUCACAGAUACCAGCGUUCACAUAAAAUAAAUAUCCAAAACCACAUCCAAAGACCAACCUCAUUCAAGGAAAAAGAAUAACACCUUUGACACGCCACAGGGCACAACUAUCAGUGAGAAAAUAUACAACCACCAAUUGAAAUUCAAACCCCAAUGCAGCACAGCACUCGAAAGGAAAUACGGAUCACUAGAAACCACAGAAGAAUCCCCACCACCUCACCAGUGCCAGUCACACCCAUGGAGGAUACCCUGCAGCCACCAAUAAGUCAGAAAGGAGGCCAAUUUAAAAAAAAAGAUUAUUGUAAGUACCUUGAAUUGAGCAUUAAAUUCUUUAUUCCAAUCAAAUACCUUUUAAAAUAACUGGAUCUAAGAAAGAGGAAUUAAAAACCAACCGGAUGGUUCUCCUUCAAGAGACCUAUAAAACAAACCUUUAUGAAACACACCAUCUUCAUAAAUGUUCAUAAAUGUUCAUGUUCAUGCACACUCUUGUUUGUAACAUUGAUAGAUGAAUGAGAUGAGAGAAGCUAUACUACUGUGAAUCUAUUUAUAGCAGGUGCAGAUGUAAUUAAGCUACCCCACCGACUUAUGGGAAGUGUAGUCCCGAACUCAUUCAUCACCCUGUUGCCAUCACAAAUCUAG